UGCAUGCUUUUAGAGAAUAUAUAUUUAUAUAGCAGUCAAAUUCAGUGGUGGGUACGUUCUGAUUCCUCCCAAGGCCACACACAGAUAUUCUCAUUUCAGUUUCUCUUGAUUCCUUUUCCCAGUUCUUCAAAUUCAACUGGGUUCCCUUUUCUUCUUCCUAUGGCUCCGAAUUUGACGUCUCCAGCUGAAGUGAGGUUUGUUUUCUUCUCUGAUUCCUUCAAGUCUAGCAGACACGCAAACCUUCAAGGUUGUGGAGGUCAAUGUCAGAGUUGAGAAACCCGGGGAUAAUAACGUUUAGAAUAACGCAGUCUAUGCGGAAGAGACUCUGCUCCAAUCUGAAUUAGAAGUCAUGGGAGUUUGCAAUCCUUUGACCGUCCGACAUUGGAUUGGAUUGGCUUCUCCAUAAAUAUGGGCUAAAGAGAAAAUGAAAGGAGCCACUUGAACAAGAGGAGAUUAUGAUGAAGUGUUGUUAUCCUUUAUUUGUUGGAUUGUAUUGUUGCUGG